GGCAAGCCAGAGCCUACAACUCUGAGACAAACUGUAAAUCCCUUUCCCUUUCCUUCUGGUUCUGGAAGGGAUUCUGUAGUUCAGAGACACAAAGAGACCCAUUUGGACUCAGAUCCCUCAGUAAGGAAGAUGUGGCAAUGGAGAAGAAAGAUCCCUUUCCGUACCCUCCCGACCUGGUAGCAGAGACUGGGGCAGGCUAUCUCAUAAGUUUCUCAGGUCUCUUCCAUCCCUGCUGGCUCCCUCCUCGUUGUGGCAGAAAUGGCUGUAGGAGCUCCCGGCUCAUCUUCUUCGGAUCAAGGCCAGCAGGAAAGAACCAGCCCCAGCAUUCCCAGCAAGAAUCUCCAUGCAUCUCAAUGCCCAUCCCUGAACCCAUCCAUCACUGUGGUCAGAGGAAUGAGUUGCCCAGAGGGAGACAGGUCCGGAUGGCGUGCCAGCCCCAGAGUCAGGAGUGGGUCUGCUCCACUCAAACCCCAGGUCCGAGAGGAGAGAGCAGUGGUGUCCAGAGGGGAAUCGGGUGUCUGGUGUCUGGCAACCGCCCACACUUUACAGCCUGAUAUCCCAAAGUGGGCAUUGAUGUGUGGACUUCUGUAAUCCCAGGGAACAGAACGGACUAUAGCUGGGCUGCAAAGCCAGGUGGACUGGCGCCAACCAAAAUUAAAAGCUCUCAUCCGAGACUCCCUCAGUGCCAGCUGCUGACCAACUGGACCAGCUGAACUCAAACAGGAUCCUUCUCGGAGCCUGACCUGCAGCCUGCCAGGUGCAAAGCCAGCAUCCUGGAUGGGAGGCUGACAAACUGGGGGCCUUUCCAAAAGCCUCCAUCAUUAAACCUUGUUCCACCUCCAUUGUGAUUUAUUACUUAUUUGUCUUUCCUCUAAAAAGGAACCAGCCAUAAUGCAAAUGUCCCUUGAUGGUACCCCCAAAUAAACACAAUGCAAAGCAACA